rnacentral:lncRNA from 1 species
UUAUUUCUUAGUUGGUUGGUGUAAAUACCUAGAAUUCUUUUUUUUUCUUCUGUUUUUUAUUUUUAUUAUUACUAUUUUAAUUUGAGUUUUUCUUUUCUAUUUUUAGUUAAUUUUUUUAUCUAGUUUGUUUUGUUAUCUUUAAAUUUUUAUGUUUAAAUUUGAAUUUUAUUCAUUGCUAUUUUCUAUUUUAUCUCUAUUUUUUUAGUUGUUUUGGUUUGUUUUAGUUUGUUUUAGUUCCUAUUUCUUAGCUGGUUAGUGUAAAUACCUAGAAUUCUAUUUUUUAAUAUUUUUUUAUUGUUACUAUUUUAAUUUUAAUUUUUUAUUUUU